GUCCAACGAAAAAAUGCCUUCUCUUUUCCAUAUUUCUUCUCCACUUCUACAAUCUACAUUUCUUCACCUACCAUUUCUUUCUUCUUCUUUGGUAAAAGGAUCCCAUGUUUGAUUAUGGAGAUGAAUUUACAAUAGAAACCUAUAGAAUCCCAUGGCUUAUUUGGAUCCAAAUCCUAAUCUUCUUCCUCCUCAUCUUUCUUCUCUGUUGUUUCAGUGUUUUUACUUCAGAUCUUUCGCACUACAACACCAAAACCCCUUCCUCUUCUACCUCUCCUUCUUCCUUAGCUUCAGCAUCCGCUUCUACUUAUUUAAACAACCCUCUUCUCAACCACAGUACUACUACAACUCUCGCAAAUCGCUUGCAGCAUAACCAGAUAGGAGAGAGCCGAAGUAUAAAAGGAGAGAUAGCAACAAGCACAAGUACAAGAAUGGUGACAGAAGAGGACACAGAAAGCCAAGGCAUUUCAGCAAACUCCAUUAUUAAUCUCCAUCCCUGCAACUAUUUUAGGCUUGCCAAGCUUGCAGUUCUCAAGUGCUUGGGGUUAGACACAUCCUCUGAUAAUUCUCCGAGCUGUGACAGGAAAAAGGAAAGAUAGUCUACCUUGCAGAGAAUUUGCAGCCCACGUAGCUAGGCAGAAGCAAAGAUUCAGCUAUCAGCCAUUAUAAUCUACAGCCAAAGUGAUCAAACUCAAUGGAAUGGAAAGCAGGUCAGAGAUUGUGGCUCAAUCCAAGGUGAAUUACUAAAGCUAACCAUUCAUGCUCCUUGGAGUCCUCAUUUUUAAGUUAAAAAUCCAAUUUCAUUCACUGAAGCAGAUCAAAAUUGAUUGGAGCAAAGCUGAUUCCAAGAAUUUCAUGUGUAUAUUUUACACAGAUCAUAAGCUUUCGCAAGAAAUUCAAUCAACUGAUCUGCAUCAGGGUUGUCUUGGAGUUCUAGGCUCUUGUAAAAUCUCCUUUUGGUUUCUAUCUUGUAAAAUUUCUUUUUCAAAUUUCCAAAAACAACUUAAUAUUCCAUUUCCAUACAUAGUUUUUUGAAAUGACUGAAAAAGGA
rnacentral:misc_RNA from 1 species